rnacentral:rRNA from 1 species
AGAGUUUGAUCCUGGCUCAGGACGAACGCUGGCGGCGCGCUUAACACAUGCAAGUCGAGCGAGAACCAGGGCUUCGGCCCUGGGGACAGCGGCGAACGGGUGAGUAACACGUGGAUAACCUGCCCUCGGCACCGGGAUAGCCCGGGGAAACCCGGAUUAAUACCGGAUGGCCCUUCCGGCUCACGAGCCGGUCGGAAAAGGUAGCUUCGGCCUCCGGCCGAGGAUGGGUCCGCGGCGGAUUAGCUCGUUGGUGGGGUAACGGCCUACCAAGGCUCCGAUCCGUAGCUGGUCUGAGAGGACGAUCAGCCACACUGGGACUGAGACACGGCCCAGACUCCUACGGGAGGCAGCAGUGGGGAAUCUUGCGCAAUGGGCGAAAGCCUGACGCAGCGACGCCGCGUGAGGGAGGAAGGCCUUCGGGUUGUAAACCUCUUUCAGGAGGGACGAAGCUACUCGGGUGAAUAGCCCAGAGGGUGACGGUACCUUCAGAAGAAGCCCCGGCUAACUACGUGCCAGCCGCCGCGGUAAUUC